UUGACGUUAGUUAACGAUUGUUUAAACAGGCGUUUAUAAUGCACCUUAUAUAAAUAGGAAUAGUCACGGUUAUAUAGAGGCCUAUAUAAGUAUAGGCUGAUACCGAUGUAGCGUUAUUGGCUACAAAAUGAAAUUCUUUGUGCUGUUUAGUCUGAUGGUCGCUUUCCUGUGUGCUGUCAUGGCCCACGAAGAACUUCAUCAAGCACACCCAAAAGCAGAUUACACAGAGAGAUACGCAGCAUUAGCGUCACCGGUUCCCGACCAUGUUAACGUUGACGAGCUAGUGGAAUCACUGCGAGAGGCGAGCAACCAUCCCAACUAAAACACAGUCUGACUGACUGAGACUACUCAGUCGUGACUCACUAAUAACUGAGUUUUAGAAAUUUGUACGUCUUCAUAUGUCCCAUUAGUUUUUUUUAAUAUUUAUUAAUGUGAUUUUUAAUUUAUAUUAAAAUGAUGAAGCGUGUUGUCUGACA